GGGCCCGCACAAGCGGUGGAGCAUGUGGUUUAAUUCGAUGAUACGCGAGGAACCUUACCAGGGCUUAAAUGUAGUGGGACAGGUCUAGAGAUAGACCCUUCUUCGGACUCAUUACAAGGUGCUGCAUGGUUGUCGUCAGCUCGUGCCGUGAGGUGUCAGGUUAAGUCCUAUAACGAGCGCAACCCCUAUCGUUAGUUGCCAGCGGGUAAUGCCGGGAACUCUAGCGAAACUGCCGGUGCAAACCGUGAGGAAGGUGGGGAUGACGUCAAAUCAUCACGGCCCUUACGUCCUGGCCACACACGUGCUACAAUGGCCGGUACAGAGAGCAGCCACUACGCGAGUAG
rnacentral:rRNA from 1 species